rnacentral:rRNA from 1 species
GUGCCAGCAGCCGCGGUAAUACGGAGGGUGCGAGCGUUAAUCGGAAUGACUGGGCGUAAAGGGCAUGUAGGCGGAUAAUUAAGUUAGGUGUGAAAGCCCUGGGCUCAACCUAGGAAUUGCAUUUAAAACUGGUUAUCUGGAGUAUUGUAGAGGAAGGUAGAAUUCCACGUGUAGCGGUGAAAUGCGUAGAGAUGUGGAGGAAUACCGGUGGCGAAGGCGGCCUUCUGGACAGAUACUGACGCUGAGAUGCGAAAGCGUGGGGAGCAAACAGGAUUAGAUACCCUGGUAGUCCACGCUGUAAACGAUGUCGAUUUGGAGUUUGUUGCCUAGAGUGAUGGGCUCCGAAGCUAACGCGAUAAAUCGACCGCCUGGGGAGUACGGCCGCAAGGUUAAAACUCAAAUGAAUUGACGGGGGCCCGCACAAGCGGUGGAGCAUGUGGUUUAA